rnacentral:rRNA from 1 species
CCUACGGGGGGCAGCAGUAGGGAAUAUUGCUCAAUGGGGGAAACCCUGAAGCAGCAACGCCGCGUGGAGGAUGAAGGUUUUCGGAUUGUAAACUCCUUUUGUUAGAGAAGAUAAUGACGGUAUCUAACGAAUAAGCACCGGCUAACUCCGUGCCAGCAGCCGCGGUAAUACGGAGGGUGCAAGCGUUACUCGGAAUCACUGGGCGUAAAGAGGGCGUAGGCGGGAUAGCAAGUCAGAUGUGAAAUCCUAUGGCUUAACCAUAGAACUGCAUUUGAAACUGUUAUUCUAGAGUAUGGGAGAGGUAGGUGGAAUUCUUGGUGUAGGGGUAAAAUCCGUAGAGAUCAAGAGGAAUACUCAUUGCGAAGGCGACCUGCUAGAACAUAACUGACGCUGAUGCGCGAAAGCGUGGGGAGCAAACAGGAUUAGAUACCCUUGUAGUC